rnacentral:lncRNA from 1 species
CGACAACAGCAAUAGCAACACAGCCUUUGGAGAGUCAGAGCACCCUUGCGAGGCAGGGACUAUUGUUCUCUCCACUGAUGGGAGAGGAAAUCCAGGCCCAGAGACCUCACUGGAGCGUAGACAACCAGUGCCUGACCAAGCUGGGAUUUGGACACGGCAGAUCUGCUUUCCACAGUCGUGUCCUUGGCCUCUGGGAGACCCUGGGGGAGAUCCAGCCUGCCAUCUCUGUCCCUGAACAGUGACUGUAGACCCUGCCGCUGCCCGCCAGGCCCUCCCCUCCUGUCCCUAACCUACCCUGCGCUUUCUGAAGAGCUGCAACUCCUCACAGCCUGAACUUCCUGGAGCUUUCCCUCCACUGUCUGCUUUCGCUGGGAUUGAGCUCUCCCUGGAGGACACCACCCUCUGCCAGCUUCUGAAAUGAGAACUGUUUGUUUUCUUGGAGCUUGGAAGUGUCCGGGACAUCACAAGAGCCACUGCUCCUCAUCCAUGGUCCGUGACGCCGGGAAGCACCCAGCGUUGCUUAGUCAACGACCACAUCACUGCCAGUGCCUGCUUUCAGCUUCCCUGGGCUCCAGGUCCGUGAGGUCCUUUGCUCUGACUCUCAGCUCAGGCACAGUGGAAGAUUUCACUCUUCUGUCGCAGGAAAAACCAAAGCCCUCAGAGGUGACCCCCACACCUGCUGCCCUGCACCCUUACACCUGUCCCACCCCUCCCUUGUCACUAUAUAUGUUCAAGUAACAAUGGUUAAGUCUGUGUUAAGUAGUUAAGUGAGAUAUACAAUGAGAUAUACUUUGUCAAGGCGAUCCUCCCGCCUCAGCCUCCCUAGGGCUGGGAUUAUAGGUGAGCGCCGCCACACCCAGCUCUAUGCUUAAAAAUGUCUGCAAUUCUUUCUUGUUUCCUUUGCUUCCCAUUACUGCUCACCCCUUUUCAGGCCGGUGUCCCCCUUUACUGUGUCACUCCCCUGCCUUUGCAGUGAUCAUCGGGUUGUUCUAUAGUUUCCUCUUCCUGGAACCUCCACUAGUACCCAGUGUUGAGACCGACUUUCCUACAACGCGCUCUUUCUUGGCUCUGAGGACCUGCCGCGCCCCUGCCUUCCUCCUGUGCCCGGCUGCCCCCGUCCCUGCGGGCUCACUCUGCUUUCUCUGUCCACAGUGGUGUUCGGGGAGGGUGCUCGGUCCUGGGCCUCCUCGUAGGACGCUGCACGCUCCCUCCAAGGGCUCACUCCUGUCCCAGAUCUCCAGCUCCUUCCAGCCCAUUCCUCCCACGUUCACGCCCUUUCUCUGGUCUGGGGGGGGGGGGUGGCCUUCCGGCUGGCGUCCCUACUCCC